rnacentral:rRNA from 1 species
AAUAUUGGACAAAGGGGGCAACCCUGAUCCAGCCAUCCCGCGUGUGCGUUGAAGCCCUUCGGGUUGUAAAGCACUUUUGUCAGGGUAGAAAAGGCUCUGGCUAAUACCUGGAGCUGCUGAUGGUACCUGAAUAAUAAGCACCGGCUAACUACGUGCCAGCAGCCGCGGUAAUACGUAGGGUGCAAGCGUUAAUCGGAAUUACUGGGCGUAAAGCGUGCGCAGGCGGUUCGGCAAGAAGGAUGUGAAAUCCCAGGGCUUAACCUUGGAACUGCAUUCUUAACUGCCGGGCUAGAGUAUGUCAGAGGGGGGUAGAAUUCCGCGUGUAGCAGUGAAAUGCGUAGAGAUGCGGAGGAAUACCGAUGGCGAAGGCAGCCCCCUGGGAUAAUACUGACGCACAUGCACGAAAGCGUGGGGAGCAAAC